UUAAUGAGUUGAUAUUAAUUAAAUAUCUUUUUUUUUUCGAUUUUUGCAAAGGUUUCAUUUACGCCUAAUCCAUAUCGAGUAGACCCUGUCGUUGUGAGAAUUCUUAAUUCAUGAGUUGUAGGGAGGGACUUAUGUCACCACAAACAGAAACUAAAGCAAGUGUUGGAUUUAAAGCUGGUGUUAAGGAUUAUAAAUUGACUUACUACACCCCGGAGUACGAAACCAAGGAUACUGAUAUCUUGGCAGCAAGCAUUCCGAGUAACUCCUCAGCUCGGGCGCCUGAAGAAGCAGGAGCUGCAGUAGCUGCGGAAUCUUCUACUGGUACAUGGACAACUGUUUGGACUGAUGGACUUACCAGUCUUGAUCGUUACAAAGGACGAUGCUAUCACAUCGAGCCCGUUCCUGGGGACCCAGAUCAAUAUAUCUGUUAUGUAGCUUAUCCAUUAGACCUAUUUGAAGAGGGUUCUGUUACUAACAUGUUUACUUCCAUUGUGGGUAACGUAUUUGGUUUCAAAGCCUUACGCGCUCUACGUUUGGAGGAUCUACGAAUUCCCCCUGCUUAUUCAAAAACUUUCCAAGGUCCGCCUCACGGUAUCCAAGUUGAAAGGGAUAAGUUGAACAAGUACGGUCGUCCUUUAUUGGGAUGUACUAUUAAACGGAUUAUCCGCAAAAAAUUACGGUAGAGCGUGUUAUGAGUGUCUACGCGGUGGACUUGAUUUUACCAAAGAUGAUGAAAACGUAAACUCACAACCAUUUAUGCGCUGGAGAGACCGUUUUGUCUUUUGUGCCGAAGCAAUUUAUAAAGCACAAGCCGAAACCGGUGAAAUCAAGGGGCAUUACUUGAAUGCGACUGCAGGUACAUGCGAAUAAAUGAUUAAGAGAGCUGUAUUUGCAAGGGAAUUAGGGGUUCCUAUUGUAAUGCAUGACUACUUAACAGGAGGUCGCAAAUACUACUUUGUCUCAUUAUUGCCGCGACAACGGCCUACUUCUUCACAUUCACCGAGCAAUGCAUGCAGUUAUUGAUAGACAGAAAAAUCAUGGUAUGCAUUUCCGUGUAUUAGCUAAAGCAUUGCGUAUGUCGGGGGGAGAUCAUAUCCACUCCGGUACAGUAGUAGGUAAGUUAGAAGGGGAACGCGAAAUAACUUUAGGUUUUGUUGAUUUAUUGCGCGAUGAUUUUAUUGAAAAAGAUCGUUAUCGCGGUAUCUUUUUCACUCAGGACUGGGUAUCCAUGCCAGGUGUUAUACCGGUGGCUUCUGGGGGUAUUCAUGUUUGGCAUAUGCCAGCUCUGACCGAAAUCUUUGGAGAUGAUUCCGUAUUACAAUUUGGUGGAGGAACUUUAGGACAUCCUUGGGGAAAUGCACCUGGUGCAGCAGCUAAUCGUGUGGCUUUAGAAGCCUGUGUACAAGCUCGUAACGAAGGGCGCGAUCUUGCUCGUGAAGGUAAUGAAAUUAUCAAAGCAGCUUGCAAAUGGAGUGCUGAACUAGCCGCAGCUUGUGAAAUAUGGAAGGAGAUCCAAUUUGAUGGUUUCAAAGCGAUGGAUACCAUAUAAAAUAAAAAA